CUAGCCGAUCAGCCACAUGGUAGUAUUUUGCCUUAAAUACUCUCGCGCACAAGCUGUCGGGAUGUGCAAUAAGUCGCCAAGCUUGCCUAAGGAGGAGAGCCUGGUUAAAAACUUUAGGCCUCCUUUGAUUCAUAGGAAAGAAAAAAUGAAGGAAUAUGAAAAUUAAAGGAUUGCCAUGCCCUACCCACCUGAAUCCUAUGGAAUUAGAAAACAUAGGAUUUGGCACAACUGGGUGUUUGAUGGGAGCAUAGGAAAAGCAUGGGAACUCAGAGCAUUAUAAUAUUAUUAUUUUGAAAGGUGUGCUUUCAAACAGGUAGCCGUUACUCCCUGAGCUAGCCGUUUGGCUACAACAAGAUAUAUAUACGCAAGCACAAAGUUUCUUCUUUACAAGAUCUCCACUUCAUACAACCGAGAACAGGUUACAUGCAAGUCUUUGCUGGUGAUAGCUGAAGUUUCCUCAUAUUUGCUUGAUCUUCUCUCAAAUCUGAGGCUUGUUUGUCAUAACAUCCGAUGGAUCCGAGCUACUGUCGUAGAUCAAAAAGUGAGGAUGAAUUUGCUCUUUUUGUUCUUCCUACUUUAGGAGAACCCUCUCAUUCCUCAAGAAGACCUAUGCACACUUCAAUACUUACAGGCGCACGGCGUGUAAACGAAAUUUUAAAUGGACAUGAAGACCUAUGCAAAAGGUACUUCAGAAUGGAGACUGACAUAUUUCAAGCUUUGGUUCAGAAA